rnacentral:lncRNA from 1 species
CGGGCAUUUUUUUAACAACGAACGACUAUUCUAUUAUUCAAACUAGAAAUGGUCUGGAUAACUAAACCGGAAUAGAACAACUAAUGUAAAACAAUUUUCUAUAAAAAGACUGUGCAGAUCAAGCUAAAGAAUCGACAAUUCCAUUGCGAGCUCUUGGGAUAUAGGAAAUCUUGAAAUCCCGGAAGCAAAUCUAGAGAGUUUUGGUGGCAUUUUAGAAGCUUUAUUUUCUCUAUUAAAAGAGAAUUACAAUUCUGUUCACCAAUUACAUAUAUUUAAUUAUUAUCAUAUAUUGGUAAAAUACACUAAAAUAAUAUGAAAGAUG